rnacentral:lncRNA from 1 species
GACUAUUUUGAGUCAAGCAAUGAAUGAUACAAAUCAUGUUCCGCCUUUGACUAUACUAGUAUCAAACUCUCAUAUCCCAGAUGAGGGAAUAUCGAAAAAGUUUGGAGGUGUUGAUUUCAAAAAAUAGUAAUAAAAGAUGUUGUUCUAUCUUACUACUUUGAAUUUAGCAAAGUUCUUAAAAGAAACCGCAACUAUAAUACAAGAGGGAAAAAAUAAUCGUGAGUCAAUUAUUAAAUUGGAUACAUGGGAACACUCGGAUUUCCUUUGUGAAAACUAAAUUCUAAAUGAAUUGGACAAUACACUUUAUGGAGUGUACAGUUCGAAGGACUUGGUCAAGGAUUUAUGGGAGUUAUUGAAGAAGAAAUACAAAAUUGAAGAUGCCGAGACAAAGAAGUUAAUUGUCAGCAAGUAUUUUGUAAAGGCUCGGAAAACUUUAUAGAAUGAAAUUUAUUUGUUUACACGUUAUAUUUAGAAACGUUGGGGACUAAAAUGAAAUAGAUUUUAAACUCCUAUUUUAUUUAUGUCAAAUAAUUAGAUAUUGAUGGAACGAGAUUUAGUAUAUCAAUAUUGGACUCAUUUUGUAGGUCGUAAUUAAUUAGAAGUCUUCCACUUGAGAAAAACUAAUUUGGAUAUGUUAAGCCUAAGAAAUUGAAGUUUAAAGAAAUUAUCAUUUAUUAGUAUUUUAUUUAAAUUGGAAUUUGCAAGAGAGCCAGCCACAUGCAGUGGUGGAUCCAGCACCUGGCGAGUACAAGCGAUUGCGCUUACUAGAUCCAAAUAAAAAGUUUUUUGUUAACAGUAGAUAAAAAUUUUAGAUUAUAUAUCUGAUAGUUCAUUUUAUUUCUUAACAUGUCUUGUAAUUCAGUUGGUUAGAGCUUCCACAUACAAAUUGAAUGUCCAAGGUUCAAAUACCUUCUAAACCAUAUUAUUGUGCAAGUUUUCUAUUUUUACAAAUUUUUACCAAAACUGAUGCCAAUAAGGAGAAGAUUCGAUCGACCCUGUGACCUUUCUUUAAGAUUUACAAACCUUGACCUUCAUGGCACUUGUUAAGUUGCGGCACGAAAUUUAACGGAGUAAUAUAUAUUCCAUUUUAGUGGUUUUAAUGCAACAACAAGGAUUCGAACCUUUGCUCUUCCUUUGAAUUAUACAAAAUAUGGACACUAUGUCAUUUGGUGAAUAUCAUUAUUAUUUAUAACAAAAUUAUAUAUGUUUAGUUUUAGCAAAAUAAUUAUUAUAUUUAAAUUUUAAUAUUUUAUUACGCUCAAUGAUCGAUGACCACUAGUGCUCACUGAAAAUUCUGGAUUUGCCAUGUGCCACGUAUAGGGAUGUACAGAUUUCGCUAUUAGAUGUUAGUUGUUGGUCAUGAACAGUUGCGGAUGCAGGUGGCCACCCUAGCUGGAUUUGUCGGAACCGUCGAUCGUCGAGCGUCUCUCAGUGGUAAGUCUCAGAUGAUAGAUUUUGCCGCCCUAGCUGGAUUCCUUUGCUGUUGGUGGUUGUGUUGGCUGUUGGAGUAUUGCUGUGUUAGGCCACAUUUUUUAAAAUCAGGCCCAAAUUAAAAAUCCUAAAUCAGCAUUCACCCAUUAUGGACCAUAAGGUCUCUUCCAGUCCACUACAAUUACAACAGAGGGUAGACCGACAGAGGCAAUGGAGUCUCCAGCGACAAGCAACACUUUCCCGAAUCAGUCCUAUUUCUGAUUUCCUUCCCGUUAAUUAAAUCGGUAGCUAGAGAGAUCAGAGAAGAGCAAACCCUUCAUGAGUUCUUCUCCCAAUUCCUUCCCGUUAUUUAAUUUUUCUUACAUUAUUUACAUGUUUUUCCCCCAAUUCCUUUCCCAAAAUCACCAUUCAUUCACCCAUUAUUUACAUGUUUUUUUUCAUGGCAUAUUUAUUAUUUAAUUAUUGGUUUUUUUAGUAGUUUAUUAUGCUCUAUGUUUGAUUUUUAGGGUUUUGAAUUGUUUCGGCUUCGAUUCGAGGCUUAUUGUUUGGGGAUUUUGUUACAAAUUAUUGAAAGUUUUUGUAAUGCCAAAGUGAUCCAGUGCUUAUUAUCAACUCAAAUGACUUUUGAAGCCUUAAAGUGAGUUUCAAUUGAAGAUGAAAGUAGAUCAAAGUUUAAUUAUCUAUUUUAUUUCUACGUUCUUCGCUACUUUUAGAGCAGAAGUUUUGAAAAGUUUGGUUAACUUAGCCUAAUCGAGUGUUGUUUCCGGCAUAAGAGCAUAUCUUAUUACAUGCCACUAGGUCAAACAUUUGAAAAGUACUUGUGAGCUAGUGACAAGGAGAACAUGUUCAGAUGGAAAAUCUUUUUCGUAUGAACUUGAACUUCUUGAAUUUGGCAGUGGAAUGAAUACAUGUUAUUUAUUAUAAUAGUAUAUCUAUUUAAUGUGUCAUUGAGGAUUUUUAUCAAAAUGGGGUGGUCAAUGCUACAUCUAAUUGUACUUGCUUGACUUUCUUUGUAUGUCUGUCAUUUGAUUCAUUUCUUCCGCAUGAGUUUCAAUGGUUGAUCAUAUCUUGACUUUCUAAUUAAAAUUUCACGUGUAAAUAUCUAGCAUCUUAAAAUGUUAAAUGGGCUAGCCUUAAAUGGCUUUUCAACGAUUGACCGCCGAUCGAAUCGAGCUUUUAAUAUCGUUGAUUGUUGACGGUCAACGGUCAAAGUCAACAUCCGCCCUUGCUGAACAUUGAUGUUGGAUUCGCCCCUGGUCAUGAAUCUACUUUUGAUUGUGGUAGGUAUUAAUUAUAUAUUCUAUUCCACUUCAAAUACCACUCAUUUUUUCAUCAGUAGUGUACUUACAAGUUUUUAUUUCCUAGAAUCCAUUUUACUUAAAUGAAGUUUUGCUAGAAACAGAAAAGUCAUAAUUGCAUGCCGUGCUAACCUAUACAUAGUACAUCCAAAUUCCAUGAAGAGUCUAUUCAUAUUUAAUUUCCUUACUUUUACACAACUUUGGACUUCUAACCACACACAAAUUCAUAGAAGUAUAGGUUAUAGUAUUGUAUAUGUAGUCAUGUUAAGUCAAUCAUAUUCACAUAGAAAAGAAAAAGUUAAGCUAGAGAGAAAGAUAAGCAUAGAAAAAUGGGGGGUUUCACGCGUAUUAUUUUGCAUUCUUUUACAACAUUUCAAUAAAAUGAGGUAAGAUACUUUUAUGCAAGUUGUUUUUUUCUAUAUAAUUUUAUAAUUAGAAAUUUAUCCAUGAAUUGCUAAAGGACCUUUGGGUUCUUUAGAAAGAUAUAUGAAAUCUUUCGUGAAUUUAAGGGGUCUAAGAAAAGAGUGAUACGAAGUGUAAAUUUUAUCGUUAUAUAAUUGUCUAUGGAAACUGUACGUAUCUUACUGGGUAUUUUUUAAUACUCACUCUUACAAUAACUUUUCGGGUUAGUUCGAGUCAAUUAGAACUAUGACAAGAUGGUGAUGCAAAUUGCCAAGAGGAUUCGAAAAACGAAAAACAUUAAGUUUUCUAUCUUUCAAUUUAUUAGUUUAGCUUGUUCAAAGACAUGUUAUUUAAUUAGCAAGGAAUUUUUUUUUUGAAAGAUACAAUUUCCAUGUAUUAAUUUAAAUUUGUGAAUUUUUAGUUUUUUUUAAAAAGAAAUUUAUUUUUAUCUUUCCACAUUUAAUACAAAGAAAAGUUAGUUUUUG